ACAGCACAGAAAGUGUGAAAACGUCCACACUGGGCUAACUACCUAUGUGGAUAGGUGUGCGUGUGCGUGCCUCGCUGAGAGGACGCCACAGAUCAUUAGUUUUAAGGCAACUGUGGUACACGGUUACAUGGGUUAUUUAUUGUAAGGAAUAUGUGUUUGUGGAUUAUUUUUGUGUAACAGAUGUUCUCUUUUUCAUCAUCAUCACAACAGAUAUGGAGAUGAUCUCAGGGAGCAGAGCUAAUUAUUCCCUCAGUGCAAACAGAAGCAGAGUUCUGAAGUUUAUCGAGAGGCCCCUUUAUGAUGUCGUGAGGCCGCCGCGACGUCACGCGGCACGUUUACGAUGAUGGCCUCCGUGACGUCAGCUAUGAUGACAGCUAUGAUUUCAGCUAUCGUCACGUCAUGCAGCACGUCUGCGUUUGCUCUCGUACCUCCGUCUGCCAGUAACACCACUCCCAGUCCUCACACGGGAUUUUGGAGUAUGCAGGCGUGUGGGGGAGAUCAGCUACAGCGUGUGUGCUGUUUGUUCGGCCUUCAUACCCUCCCGCCCAUGUCACUCUGGACAUUCU